ACGCUGGCGGCGUGCCUAACCUAUGCAAGUCGAACGAGGCUUCGAGCCGAGUGGCGGACGAGUGAGUAACACGUACCUUAUCUGCCUGUAAGUGGGGAAUAACCGCCCGAAAGGGUAGCUAAUACCGCAUGUGCUCUACGGAGUAAAGCUUUUGCGCUUACAGAUGAGGGUGCGACCUAUCAGCUAGUUGGUGGGGUAAAAGCCUACCAAGGCAGUGACGGGUAGCUGGUCUGAGAGGAUGAUCAGCCACGCUGGGACUGAGAUACGGCCCAGACUCCUACGGGAGGCAGCAAGUGGGAAUAUUGCACAAUGGGCGAAAGCCUGAUGCAGCGACGCCGCGUGAGGGAUGAAGGUCUUCGGAUCGUAAACCUCUUUUAUCAACUAGGAAGAUAUGACCAGUUGAUGAAUAAGCACCUGCUAACUACGUGCCAGCAGCCGCGGUAAUACGUAGGGUGCAAGCGUUAUCCGGAAUUAUUGGGCGUAAGAGAUGCGUAGUGGUCUAUCAAGUUUUUGGUGAAAGCC
rnacentral:rRNA from 1 species